AAGACGUACAUCGGUAUGUUUGUCGGUGCGCUUUGUGCGUUGGCCGGUGUGUUGACGAUCGCCCUGCCCGUACCCGUCAUCGUGAGCAAC
rfam:Anopheles christyi strain ACHKN1017 cont1.16255, whole genome shotgun sequence.